rnacentral:rRNA from 1 species
CCUACGGGGGGCUGCAGUGAGGAAUAUUGGUCAAUGGACGAGAGUCUGAACCAGCCAAGUAGCGUGAAGGAUGACUGCCCUAUGGGUUGUAAACUUCUUUUAUAAAGGAAUAAAACGAGGCACGUGUGCCUUUUUGCAUGUACUUUAUGAAUAAGGAUCGGCUAACUCCGUGCCAGCAGCCGCGGUAAUACGGAGGAUCCGAGCGUUAGCCGGAUUUAGUGGGUUUAAAGGGAGCGUAGAUGGGUUGUUAAGUCAGUUGUGAAAGUUUGCGGCUCAACCGUAAAAUUGCAAUUGAUACUGGCAGUCUUGAGUACAGUUGAGGUAAGCGGAAUUCGUGGUGUAGCGGUGAAAUGCUUAGAUAUCACGAAGAACCCCGAGUGCGAAGGCAGCUUACUAAACUGUGACUGACAUUGAUGCUCGAAAGUGUGGGUAUCAAACAGGAUUAGAUACUCGAGUAGUC